rnacentral:rRNA from 1 species
AUGAACCGCUGGCGGCAGGCCUAACACAUGCAAGUCGAGCGGUAGAGAGAAGCUUGCUUCUCUUGAGAGCGGCGGACGGGUGAGUAAUGCCUAGGAAUCUGCCUGGUAGUGGGGGAUAACGUUCGGAAACGGACGCUAAUACCGCAUACGUCCUACGGGAGAAAGCAGGGGACCUUCGGGCCUUGCGCUAUCAGAUGAGCCUAGGUCGGAUUAGCUAGUUGGUGAGGUAAUGGCUCACCAAGGCUACGAUCCGUAACUGGUCUGAGAGGAUGAUCAGUCACACUGGAACUGAGACACGGUCCAGACUCCUACGGGAGGCAGCAGUGGGGAAUAUUGGACAAUGGGCGAAAGCCUGAUCCAGCCAUGCCGCGUGUGUGAAGAAGGUCAUCGGAUUGUAAAGCACUUUAAGUUGGGAGGAAGGGCAGUUACCUAAUACGUGAUUGUUUUGACGUUACCGACAGAAUAAGCACCGGCUAACUCUGUGCCAGCAGCCGCGGUAAUACAGAGGGUGCAAGCGUUAAUCGGAAUUACUGGGCGUAAAGCGCGCGUAGGUGGUUAGUUAAGUUGGAUGUGAAAUCCCCGGGCUCAACCUGGGAACUGCAUUCAAAACUGACUGACUAGAGUAUGGUAGAGGGUGG